UGCAGUCCCAACAGAGGCAUAGAAUCCAAGAGCGGAACCUCUUCAUGCACAAGAGAAGCCUGAGGCCCAGAGAGAGGAAGGAACUUGCCAAGGUUACACAUGACCAUCUUGCAGCCCAACAUCCAGCAAACCACAUUGGAAUACAGCGUGCCACAAUGAUGGUGCUUCAUGACCCAGCCCCAAGAAUGGAUACCCCUUUCGAAGUGUCUACCCAGAGGAGAAGCACCUCCAUCCACACCAAGAGACUGGGCUGUGUUCCUGGAAAUAUGAGCCUUUAAAAGUGAAGCUAUAGUGUAAAACAAAUUCAAACAUAAAAAAGCUUUUUCUUUCACCUGA